rnacentral:rRNA from 1 species
UACGGAGGGUGCAAGCAUUAAUCGGAUUUAUUGGGCGUAAAGGGCGCGUAGGCGGAAGGAUAAGUAAGGUGUGAAAUCCUGGAGCUCAACUCCAGAACAGCACUUUAAACUGUCCUCCUAGAGGGUAGGCGGAGAAAACGGAAUUCCACAAGUAGCGGUGAAAUGCGUAGAUAUGUGGAAGAACACCUGUGGCGAAAGCGGUUUUCUAGCUUAUUCCUGACGCUAAUGCGCGAAAGCAAGGGGAGCAAACAGG